AACGCUAGCUACAGGCUUAACACAUGCAAGUCGCGGGGUAACGAGAGGGAAGCUUGCUUUCCUUGUCGACGACCGGCGCACGGGUGAGUAACGCGUAUCCAACCUGCCCAUUACCACGGGAUACCCCGUCGAAAGGCGGCCUAAUACCGUAUGCAGUCGUCAGAUGACAUCAGAGGACGACGAAAGGAUUGGCGGUAAUGGAUGGGGAUGCGUCUGAUUAGGUAGUUGGAGGGGUAACGGCCCACCAAGCCAUCGAUCAGUAGGGGUUCUGAGAGGAAGGUCCCCCACAUUGGAACUGAGACACGGUCCAAACUCCUACGGGAGGCAGCAGUGAGGAAUAUUGGUCAAUGGACGAGAGUCUGAACCAGCCAAGUAGCGUGCAGGAUGACGGCCCUAUGGGUUGUAAACUGCUUUUAUAAGGGAAUAAAGUGAGUCUCGUGAGACUUUUUGCAUGUACCUUAUGAAUAAGGACCGGCUAAUUCCGUGCCAGCAGCCGCGGUAAUACGGAAGGUCCGGGCGUUAUCCGGAUUUAUUGGGUUUAAAGGGAGCGUAGGCCGGAGAUUAAGCGUGUUGUGAAAUGUAGACGCUCAACGUCUGCACUGCAGCGCGAACUGGUUUCCUUGAGUACGCACAAAGUGGGCGGAAUUCGUGGUGUAGCGGUGAAAUGCUUAGAUAUCACGAAGAACUCCGAUUG
rnacentral:rRNA from 1 species